GAGGGUCUGAAACUGCAUUCUACAUGUCUUCUGAGGAUCGCUCUGCAAGGUGCAAAUAAAAUGGCAAAUUUCGAUUAAGGAAUUCAGCGAUAAGCAAACAAGCUUCACUCUUCUCUUCCAGUGUAAUCAUGGAUAUGCAAAUAUUCUUCAUGUCUGAAAUAUUGCACAAGACGGUACGGCAGCUGUGCGAAAAGCUGGUUGAUUUCAAACUGCAGUUGGAUGCCCAGCCCUAGUGCACUUCAAGCACAAAUAACAUACCACGUUUUUCUGCCUCUGGGCUUUCCCUGAAGCCAUGGGGAUUUUCUCAGUCGAGAGAACAGAAGAGGGAAUCCUAUCUAAAAGAAGUUAUGUUAAAAAGAAAAUUUCAAGGCUUCUGAAUGUAUUUUGUAAAGAACAG